rnacentral:rRNA from 1 species
CACGCCGUAAACGUUGAGAACUAAGUGUUGGGGAGACCCAGUGCUGAAGCUAACGCAUUAAGUUCUCCGCCUGAGGAGUACGCACGCAAGUGUAAAACUUAAAGGAAUUGACGGGGCCCGCACAAGCAGUGGAGCAUGUGGUUUAAUUCGUGGCUACGCGAAGAACCUUACCAGGGCUUGACAGGAAACUUAAGACCCUAGAGAUAGGGGGAUAAUAAGUGAAACAGGUGG